AAGGGAAUCAGUAUUGACAAAGCAUAAUCCCCAACAAAACCUUAAUAACUAGUUUUAAAUUCAUCGGUUUUUAAAAAUUUCUUAUUAGACUUGAUUUACAGUGUUGUGUCAGUGUCUCCUGUACAGCAGAGUAACCCAGUUACCCAGUUAUAUAUAUUCUUCUUUUCACAUUAUCUGCCAACACAUUCCAUCACAAGUGAUCAGAUACAGUUCUUUGGUAUAUAGAGCAGAAUCUCAUUGCUUAUCCAUUCCAAAUGCAAUAGUUUACAACUCCCAGUCCCUCCUACUCCUUCCCCUGCCCCACAACCACAAGUCUGUUCUCCAUGUCUACGAGCUUGUUUCUUUUCUGUAGAUAGAUUCAUUUGUACCAUAUCUGAGAUUCCAUAUAUAAGUGAUAUUGUAUGGUAUUUGUCUUUCUCCUUCUGACUUACUUCACUUAGUAUGAGAGUCUCUAUGUUGCUACAAACAACAUUAUUUUGUUCUUUUUUAUAGCUGAGUAGUAUUCCAUUGUGUAUAUAUACCACAUCUUCUUAAUCCAAUCAUCCAUUGUGGACAUUUAAGUUGUUUCCAUAUUUUGGAUAUAGUGAAUAGGGGUGCAUGUAUAUUUUUCAAUGAAUGCUUUGUCUGGAUUAUGCUCAGGAGUGGGAUUAAUGGGUCGGUCAUAUGGUCGUUCUAUAUUUAGUUUUCUGAGGUACCUCCAUACUGUUUUUCAUAGUGGUUGUACCAGUUUACAGUCCCACCAACAGUUUAGGAGGGUUCCCUUUUCUCUACCUCUCCAGCAUUUUGUUAUUUGUAGAUUUACUGAUGAUGGCCAUUCUGACUGGUGUGAGGUGGUACCUCAAUGUAGUUUUGAUUUGCAUUUCUCUAAUAAUUCGUGAUGUUAAGCAUUUAUUCAUGUGCCUGUUGGCCAUCCAUAUUUCUUCUUUGGAGAAAUGUCUCUUUAGUUCUUCUGCCCAUUUAUCAUUGGGUUGUUUGUUUUUUUGCUGUUGAGUUGUAUGAAUUAUUUUUAUACUUUGGAGAUUAAGCCCUUGUCAGCUGGUCACUUGCUUAGUUUGCAACUAUUUUCUCCCAUUCAUAGAUUGUCUUUUCGUUUUUUUUUUUUUUUUAAUGGUUUCCAUGGCUGUGCAGAAGCUUUUGAGUUUAAUUAGGUCCCAUUGGUUUAUUUUUGUUUUUACUUCUUUUGCUUUGGGAGACUUACCUAAGAAAACAUGUGUCGAUUGAUGUCAGAGAAUGUUUUGCCUAUGUUCUUUCUAGAAGUUUUAUAGUGUCUUAUGUUUAAAUCUUUAAGCCAUUUUAAGUUUAUUUUUGUGCAUGGUAUGAGGGUAUGUCCUAGUUUCAUUGAUUUAUAUGCAGCUGUCCAGUUUUCCCAGCACCACUUGUUGCAGAGACUGUCUUUUUCCCAUUGACCAUGGGUGUAUGGAUUUAUUUCUGAAAGACUUCCUGCUAAAAUCUGGAACAAGACAAGGAUGCCCACUCUCACCACUUUUAUUCAACAUAGUAUUGGAAGUCCUAGCCACAGCAGUCUGACAAACAAAAAAAUAAAAGGUAUCUAAAUUGGAAGAAAAGAGGUAAAAUUGUCACUCUACGCAGAUGACAUGUUACUAUAUAUAGAAAACCUAAGGAUUCCACACAAAAACUACUCAGACUGGUCAAUGAAUUCAGCAGGUAGCAGGAUACAAGAUUAACAUUCAAAAAUCUGCUACAUUUCUAUGUACUGACAAUGAAAUAUUAGAAAAGGAAUAUAAAAAUAAAUACCUUUUAAAAUUGCACCCCCAAAAAAUUAAAUACCUAGAUAAACAUGACCAAAGAGGUGAAAGACUUAUAUGCUGAGAAUUUUAUAAAACAUUAAUCAAGGAAAUUAAAGAGGAUUCGAAAAAAUGGAAAGAUAUUCUAUGCUCCUGGGUUGGAAGAAUUAAUAUCAUUAAAAUAGUCAUACUACCCAAAGCAAUCUACAGGUUCAAUGCAAUCCCUAUCAAAUUACCCAUGACAUUUUUCACAGAACUAGAACAAACAAUCCAAACAUCAUAUGGAAUCAUAAAAGACCCAGAAUUGCCAAAGCAAUCCUGAAGGGAAAAACCAAGCAGGCGGCAUUAACUCUCCCAGACUUCAGACACUACUACAAGGCCACAGUAAUCAAGACAGAAUUGUACUGGGACCAAAACAAACAUACCGACCAAUGGAACAGACCAGAGAACCCAGAAAUUCACCAGUUUUUUUUUCCCUGCUAUACUCAUUACCAUUGUUUAUAGAGCUAACGUUUACCUCUUCUCCUUUAAAGUUGUAAGAGGUGUUUUUAAAAGUCAUCACAUCUGCCAGGUAGGCUGAUUUACCUUGUGGUAGUAAACAAUCACAGAAUUUUACUUCUCAUUCAUGCUACAUGCCAACAGAGACGGACUGCAGCUCCACUUACUAUCAUCUUUACUCCGAGUCAUAGGCUGAGGAUAUAGCCUCUGUCUGGAAUGCCACCAGUUUUGUGGUAGAGAGAAAAGAGGAUUCCUUCCUGUUAUCGAACACUGGCUGUUAAAACUUCAGUCCAGAAUUGACACACCUCACUCCUGCUCACAUCUCAUUAUCCAAACAGAUCAUAUCAUGAAGCUUGGGCAUAGAAGGAAGUCCUUCCUCUCUUUCCAAAUUUAAUCUUAUAUACCUUGAACUUUAGGGAAGAUGCCCUUGAGCUCUUUCUCCUGGGCUAUUUUUUUCCACCUGGGGACCACCUUAAGCCAUUCAGAGGUUUUUUUAAAGAUUAUAAAGGCUAUGCCUUUAACUUGGUACUUUGCCCUGAGACUGAGAUUUAAUUAGCCUUCAUUGCUCUAAGGUCUCCUUAGUUUUUUCUAUUACAUUUUGAGUUUUAAAGAAAGCCUUUGUCUAAUCCUAUAAGAUUUGGAAUUUCUGGGCUCUCAGUCUCUUUUAUUUCUGCUUUACAAAGUGUUCAUUUCCUUUUUUUAAAAAUCAUCUCUUUCUCAUGGUACCUUGUCAAAUGCAGCUAGCAGCAAUCAGAGGAUGCUAUUAGCAUUCCAUUUUUCACCUUCUUCACCUAAAACAAUAAGCUCAUUAGGUGCAUUAUAUGUAUUCUAAGUUGUCACAGGUGACAAUUUUAGCAAAUGUUUUCCUGCUGCAAGAGGGAUUGUUGUUCUUCUAGGCACCACUAAAAGAGUUUCUUCUUAGGACCACUGCCUGGCACCAAGCCAAUGCUCUGUGUUUUAAAGCUUUUUGUUGUUACAGGGGCACACUAUUCAUGAUAGCAACAAAAGACCUCCAGAUCUGAGUAAUUUAAAACAGAGGUGUUACUGUCCCCUAACCCUAUAUGCCUGUCACAGAUCAUCUGUGUCUUUACUCCUCUAAGAAAGGGCUAUGGGUAUUUAACACUAUGGUCAACUAUGAUUAUUGACUCAAAAUGUUAUUUCGCUCAUAAAAUCUGAUUUUGCCCCAUCUUCAUAUACUUGUAUUAAUACAUGCAUUCAACAAAAAUUUAUCGGUUGCUGACUGUGUGUUAGACUCCAUUCUUAGGCUCUAGGGUAACAACAAAGAGCCAGGCAGACAAGAGCCCUGCUUUCAAAUCAGCCCAUCUCUCUAGCCCUUUGACUUUGCUUUAACAAAAGCAUUUUCCUUUUCCUAUCUAUCCCAUGAAGCUGUCUUGAUCAAACUCCGCACAAAAGAUGAUAUUUAAGCCAGCCUAUAAAAAUAAGCAGAGCUUGAAUAGGCAAAGGAAGAAUAGAGACUAGCACUCUAGGCAGAGGACCAGGAAGGACUGGAGUUGAGAGAGUAUGAGCCUAGGGCAGGGAGUCCUGGGCUGAGCUCAGAAGGCAUUGGGUCCUCUUCAGAGUGGGUACAAGCAAAAGGAAGGAUGGUCCCCUGAGGGAUCUUGGUUUUCAACUUUUGUCUCAGACCUUUGUUCUGUAUCACCUCUGAUAAGGUUCAUGAAGCAAGAGCUUCCUGAGACAGCUGUCCUUUCUAACUUCCUGUUUCCAGCCACUCAAGAUUCAUGCCCUUGUCAUUGCUCGUGGGUGGGAGCCACGGAAGAAUUUAAAUGCAGUACCAUGGGAUCAGCUUGAGCUCCAGAAACUAAGAGAUAGGAGGUGGAACAUCAGUAGGAAACUAUUACAGAUGUCUGCCGAGUCUUGGGCCCUGCUGAGAAUGCAUUAAUGGGGAGAAACUGCCCCUUUUUUAAAACAUUGCCAUGAAUGUAGUCAUGUCAGUUUGCUUGAAUGUGUCAGGUAAGUUUUCCCUGGCUGUUUUGCUCAAAUGCAUGCAUGUCCCAUGGCCAAGGAUGCCCAGGCUCUGAUAGGUUGAAGAACCAAUGCUUGGACAUAGGAAGGAAAGGAUACCCUGAAGUUCUUACCUGAAAAAAGUAAAAUGUGAGAGUGUCAACUAGGAUUAUUAAGAGAAUAAGUCCUUUACCAAAAUAGGGAACUCAGGGAGAUUGUUGAAAUAUGUACUAGCCGUUUGAAUGGUUAACUAAUCUUAUUCUUGGCACAUUGAGUUUGAGGUUGGAACAGGAUUCCUCUGAGGAGUUGUAAAGCAGACAGGUGGGAAGCUCAGAAAAGCGUCCACAGCUAGAAUGCAGAGGUAACUGAAAUGUGAGAGUUUGAAGGGGAUUGUAUAGGGAUAAAAUUUAGAGUAAGAAAAGAAUAGGGGGAGGCCAGGAUAGGCAGGAAUGACCACAUGGAAGAGGUAGGGAGCUGAGGAAGAGAAGACAGAAAAAUGAACUAAGAGAAAUGUGGAGAAAAGGGAGAUGAACCAGGAAAAGGGAUGCCACAGAAGCCAGUCUGUUUUUACAUCUGCAGUGGUUAACGAAUCCAACUAGGAACCAUGAGGUUGCGGGUUCGCUUCCUGGCCUUGCUCAGUGGGUUGGGGAUCCGGCGUUGCCAUGAGCUGUGGUGUAGGUCACAGAUGCGGCUCGAAUCUGGCGUUACUAUGGCUGCGGUGUAGGCUGGCGGCUACAGCUCUGAUUCGACCCCUAGCCUGGGAACCUCCAUGUGCUACAGGA
rnacentral:lncRNA from 1 species